GCAUGAAAAUGCUAAUAUNCUAUCAAAGCCUUUAAACACACAGGUUUGGUCCCAGCCUUGAAAUCAAUUCUCACUUAACUUACACAUGCAAGUCUCCGCACACCCGUGAAAACGCCCUUCCUACCCCGCAGGGAUAAGGAGCUGAUAUCAGGCACACCCGCCCAAAACAUCUAGCCACGCCACACCCACAAGGGCCAUCAGCAGUGAUUAACAUUAAAAAUAAACGUCAGUUUGACUUAGUUAAAUGAAAACAGAGCCGGCCAAUCUGGUGCCAGCCGCCGCGGUUACACCAUGUGGCUCAAAUUGAUCUCAAUACGGCGUAAAGCGUGAUUAAAGAAAUAUAUCCUGGGGUCAAACUAAGACUAAGCUGUAGUACGCCGAUCUUUAAGAAGCCCGAUUUCGAAAGAUACCCCAACCCAUCAACUUGAACUCACAACAACUAAGACACAAACUGGGAUUAGAUACCCCACUAUGCUUAGUCACAAACUUUAACUUACACCUCAAUCGCCAGGGAACUACGAGCAAAGCUUAAAACCCAAAGGACUUGACGGUGCCCCAUAUCCCACUAGAGGAGCCUGUCCUAUAACCGAUACCCCUCGUUCAACCUCACCAUCUUUAGUUAAUCAGCCUG
rnacentral:rRNA from 1 species